rnacentral:SRP_RNA from 1 species
AAAUUAUAAUGACGCAAUAAAUAGACUGGAAAUUGGUCAGGAUUGGAAAAUAGCAGCCAUAACAGUAAAUGUUUAUGUGCGUCUUUUUUUGAGGCUUU